rnacentral:rRNA from 1 species
UACAGGGGGUGCAAACGUUGCUCGGAAUUAUUGGGCGUAAAGCGCGCGUAGGCGGCCACUUAAGUCGGAUGUGAAAGCCCCUGGCUCAACUGGGGAAGUGCACCCGAAACUGAAUGGCUUGAGUGCGAAAGAGGGUCGCGGAAUUCCCGGUGUAGAGGUGAAAUUCGUAGAUAUUAGGAAGAACACCAGUGGCGAAGGCGGCUCACUGGCCCGGUACUGACGCUGAGGCGCGAAAGCGUGGGGAGCAAACAGG